UACGGAGGGGGCUAGCGUUGUUCGGAAUUACUGGGCGUAAAGCGCACGUAGGCGGCUUUGUAAGUUAGAGGUGAAAGCCCAGGGCUUAACCCUGGAAUUGCCUUUAAGACUGCAUCGCUAGAAUCGUGGAGAGGUGAGUGGAAUUCCGAGUGUAGAGGUGAAAUUCGUAGAUAUUCGGAAGAACACCAGUGGCGAAGGCGACUCACUGGACACGUAUUGACGCUGAGGUACGAAAGCGUGGGGAGCAAACAGG
rnacentral:rRNA from 1 species